GACGAACGCUGGCGGCGUGCCUAAUACAUGCAAGUUGAGCGCUGAAGGUUGGUACUUGUCCCGACUGGAUGAGCAGCGAACGGGUGAGUAACGCGUGGGGAAUCUGCCUUUGAGCGGGGGACAACAUUUGGAAACGAAUGCUAAUACCGCAUAAAAACUUUAAACACAAGUUUUAAGUUUGAAAGAUGCAAUUGCAUCACUCAAAGAUGAUCCCGCGUUGUAUUAGCUAGUUGGUGAGGUAAAGGCUCACCAAGGCGAUGAUACAUAGCCGACCUGAGAGGGUGAUCGGCCACAUUGGGACUGAGACACGGCCCAAACUCCUACGGGAGGCAGCAGUAGGGAAUCUUCGGCAAUGGACGAAAGUCUGACCGAGCAACGCCGAGUGAGUGAAGAAGGUUUUCGGAUCGUAAAACUCUGUUGGUAGAGAAGAACGUUGGUGAGAGUGGAAAGCUCAUCAAGUGACGGUAACUACCCAGAAAGGGACGGCUAACUACGUG
rnacentral:rRNA from 1 species